rnacentral:lncRNA from 1 species
AGGAUUUUAACUGUUUGCUGUUUCUGACUUUGUGUCCUUGUAGGCAUCAAGUAAGUCCCAGGUAUGACUAAUUCCUGGCUUCAAAAGAGGAAUCAUGAGAAGAGAGGAGAGCUGAGCAGAGGAAGCCUGACAGUUCCUGUGCAAAGCAGGUUGGAACCUGUUCUAUAGGGGUUGAGGCAACCAUGGCUCCCCUAAGAAGUGCAGCUGAGAAAAUCUCUCACAAGGCACAUGAGAUGUUUGCUGUAUUUCACCCCUCAGAGCACUCUGUUUACUUGAACUUUAAUAAAAUUCCAAUCUGUUAUAGAGGGCCCUUCUAGGUGAUGGGCAGCCACAAUCUCUGCAAAGACAAUCUGAGAAGAUCAUGGAAAAUAAGCUAUCAUCCUCAUGACUGCAACAGUUUACAUUGCUAGAACUGGUAUUCAAUACUCCUCCUUUUAUCACCAUUCUGAAUAUUGUUCACCUUUAGUCAGCACUUUAGUUAGUCUUGGUAAUUUGUCAGGGGGUGAAGACCUAGAUCGGUGUUCUCAAAUGAUCUGAGCCCUUAAUUGCUUUGUCUUUGUCAGGACUUGUUUGCAACAAUUGCUCAUUCAUCACUGGACAAACAAAAUAAAUAGGCACCUUGUAACCUCCCUGGACUCCAGAUAUAUUCAGUCCUACCCCAUUCCAUUUUGUGACAGCAGCUCCAGCUCAUUAUAGUAAUUAGGGCCAGUUAUUCUUAAUAUGAGUACUUCCUUUGCCUGCUGGUUCAUGGAUAUUAGAAGACCAAUGUCCAACUUGAGGUCAUAGUGUAAAGUUCAGAGGAAUCCUUACUAGAAACAUUCAUCCACUGGGAAAUAUGACUCCAAUGUAGUAAGCCUAAGAUUUGGGUGACAGAAAACAAAAUUCUGCAAGGGAUCCCUCGAAAUAUCAGCAAUCAAAGUCAAUACUGCUUUUACCUCUUGGUUUCUGGAAACGUGCAUCUUAGUCAUUAGAGACAACACCAUGGCCUUAGGUUUACUAUACGUGCUAUGUCCUAGAGUGUGAUCUCCAACCUUGUUUUAACAAUUGAACAGAAUUGACCAGGUCUUUUCACUGUUCUGUUAGGCUGCCUGCCUAUGGGUUAUUCUACAUGAUAAAAUGAAUGGAUGCUGUGGUCAUAUGCCUAUUGUCUCAUCUUCUUUGCUGACCAUGAUGACAGGUAAAAUCCUCAUAGUAAUUCUGAGUUAUUAUGGGCAAGAAAAGAAAAUACAUAUAUUCAAAGAUCUCCAUGCUGUUAAGGUUAAAUCACUUAUUAGGUUUCAGUGAUGUAUUCAAUUUCCCUUUUGACUAUCUGGACUCCUCAAUACUUUCUCCGUAAUGAAGACUUAGCCUUGGCUAUGCUGAUAUGUACCAGUACAUGGACCACACUUAGCUCAACAGGUAAGACUAGGGCUGCCCCGGUUUAAAUUUAUAGUAGCCCUCCAUUAUCAAUCAAAAUUCCCCUGGAUUGUCAGGGACCAGGCAUCUUAAUUAAAUGGGGACUACCACCUCUAAGCUUUUGAUUCUGUACCUGCCAUUUCUUCUUGGGUAAGGUAUUGUUUCUAACUUUAUAUUAUAAUUUGUGGCAGAUGAACAGUUUUAAAGGCUUUCACAUAAUAUUUUCUGCAAUUUUUUUAAUUCCAUAGGUAAGUGAAUAAAAGAGGAUUCUGUCAGCCUUUCUGCCAACUAUAAUUGAGGGACUGGGUAAAUAACUAUAAGAUAGAUCCCUGGGCUCCUUGGAUUCAUUGUAAGUUGGAACUGUGUGAGAAUUCCAGAUGAUCAAACCACUACUGUCACAAAACUUGUUGGAUUCCCAGAAUUUCUGUAUGUUCCUCUUCCUACAUAUCUGUCUCUCUCAACUACCAAAACUGGAAGACUGAUAACUUCUUAGAUCAAAUAGUAUGAAACCAAAUGUAUGAUACUAUCUGUUCCCUAUAUUUUCUGUCUUUAUCUUAAAAAUGCCUUUGAGAAUUAAUGAACACUUUCUGUUCUUAGAUGCCUACCCAGCAAAAGUAAUAUUAUUUGCUCACAUUUUUACACUAACCAUGAACAAAAAUGAUUCUCACUUAAGUAGUUACAUUAAUAUAAUAAACUUUUAAUUUAGUAUUUUUUUCCUCCUCAAUAUCUGUCCUAAAGACGGUGUUGGAAGGAGAAACUUGAUGAUCCAGAGCUUUUUGACAACUGCUAUGGUUUGUGCUGGAGAUGAUACAAACAAAUGGUCUUUUAAACUACAAAUCACAAUCACAUGUUGAGAGGAAAAAUUUAUUUCUCUCACUCAUUGCUAGACUCAUGACUAACACACAUAUAACAAAAGACAGAGUAACAAGAGAAAAAACAUGCAGAUUUACUUUACAUGAAUUCUUAUGACUCAGGAUCCUUAGGAAAUGAAGGCACAAAUAAAUUUAUAAACAUGUUUAUUUUGUGCUUAUAUUUGAUGAAGAAUAAACAAUUGUGGAGAAGUUAUGAUUGGACAAAGGGGAUUUGAUAUAGUGGUAAUAAACUGAGUUCAUUAGCAAGAACUGUUUGCUCAUAUUAUUCCUGGCUUUUCUAUGUCUUUAGCCUCUUUCCCCUGGUAAAGGCAGGGAAUAUCUCAGAUAUCUGAGAGUCAUCACCUACUAAUGAGGAAGGUCAGAAAACCCCUGGAUAUCUGGGGAAAGGAGCAAGGGGAAGGUAAGUGUGA